AUUGAACGCUGGCGGCAGGCCUAACACAUGCGAGUCGAGCGGAUGAAGGGAGCUUGCUCCUGGAUUCAGCGGCGGACGGGUGAGUAAUGCCUAGGAAUCUGCCUGGUAGUGGGGGAUAACGUCCGGAAACGGGCGCUAAUACCGCAUACGUCCUGAGGGAGAAAGUGGGGGAUCUUCGGACCUCACGCUAUCAGGUGAGCCUAGGUCGGAUUAGCUAGUUGGUGGGGUAAAGGCCUACCAAGGCGACGAUCCGUAACUGGUCUGAGAGGAUGAUCAGUCACACUGGAACUGAGACACGGUCCAGACUCCUACGGGGGGCAGCAGUGGGGAAUAUUGGACAAUGGGCGAAAGCCUGAUCCAGCCAUGCCGCGUGUGUGAAGAAGGUCUUCGGAUUGUAAAGCACUUUAAGUUGGGAGGAAGGGCAGUAAGUUAAUACCUUGCUGUUUUGACGUUACCAACAGAAUAAGCACCGGCUAACUUCGUG
rnacentral:rRNA from 1 species